rnacentral:rRNA from 1 species
GAUCAACGCUGGCGGCGUGCUUAACACAUGCAAGUCGAACGAAGUUUUUCCUUCGGGAGAAACUUAGUGGCGGACGGGUGAGUAACGCGUGGGUAACCUGCCCUGUACAGGGGGACAACAGCUGUAAACGGCUGCUAAUACCGCAUAAGCCCUUAGCACUGCAUGGUGCAUAGGGAAAAGGAGCAAUCCGGUACAGGAUGGACCCGCGUCUGAUUAGCCAGUUGGCAGGGUAACGGCCUACCAAAGCGACGAUCAGUAGCCGAUCUGAGAGGAUGUACGGCCACAUUGGGACUGAGACACGGCCCAGACUCCUACGGGAGGCAGCAGUGGGGAAUAUUGCACAAUGGAGGAAACUCUGAUGCAGCGACGCCGCGUGAGUGAAGAAGUAUUUCGGUAUGUAAAGCUCUAUCAGCAGGGAAGAAAAUGACGGUACCUGACGAAGAAGCACCGGCUAAAUACGUG